CCAGGCUACAGAAAUACUGUGGUUAUCCUAGGGCUUUCCAUAAUCAAGUGUGAUAGAAAUGUGUGCACAUAUAUCAACAUGAAUGCUGAAUCUCCAAGUAUUCCAUUAAUAGCUUAUACUUAACAAGAAGAAUGUACUUCAAGGCAAUCAACAAUUGAGCUUCCUGUGAUCUGGCUCUGGGAAUGAGACCUCCCUCCCCCAACGCAGAAGUCUGGGUCCUUCACAGUCAAAGGUCUCAGAGGCGGUGACUAUCACAGGCCCCUAGACUGGCACCUGGAAUCCGGCAGGCAGCAAAUGCUGUGGGGAGGGGCCGUGGGCACAAGAGCCAGUCUCUAUCCCAUAUGGGGCAAGCUUUUGGGGUUCACAGUAGAGGUUCUCCUAGCUCCUUAGGUCCAGACCUUUGGCUUCUACUCCACAGGGGUCCCAGGACCUCAAACAGGGGUGUCUACCCCCUGGCAGGACAGAGCCACAGAAUGCAAGUUCCAGAAGUGUCCUCUGAGAUAACAGCAUGACAAAAGUUCUGAAAGAUAUGAAUUCCAGGGACACCAUUUUCAAGUUGAAGUCCCAUUUUUCUUCACAAAACACAUCCUUUCUUGAACUAAAGCCCUCAAACACACUCUGGGCUGAGUUAGCCAAGUCACAGAACUUGGAUGCCAACUGCCCAGCUAACAUCCACGUCUCUGCCAGUAAAUGAUGACAGCAUUUGCUAUUAGGAACAAUUCUAGUGACACGGACUGGAGUGUGGAGAGGAGAUACCAGAUGUACCAGCUGAGAUCACGGGUUAGUCUGUAAAACAUAACAGGAGUUAAACCCAGGAAGGCCUUGUCUUAAUGUCUGAAUAAAAGAACAAGUCCUAUA